AUUGAACGCUGGCGGCAUGCUUUACACAUGCAAGUCGAACGGUAACAGGCCGCAAGGUGCUGACGAGUGGCGAACGGGUGAGUAAUGCAUCGGAACGUGCCCAGUCGUGGGGGAUAACUACUCGAAAGAGUAGCUAAUACCGCAUACGAUCUAUGGAUGAAAUCGGGGGACCGUAAGGCCUCGCGCGAUUGGAGCGGCCGAUGUCAGAUUAGGUAGUUGGUGGGGUAAAGGCCCACCAAGCCAACGAUCUGUAGCUGGUCUGAGAGGACGACCAGCCACACUGGGACUGAGACACGGCCCAGACUCCUACGGGAGGCAGCAGUGGGGAAUUUUGGACAAUGGGCGCAAGCCUGAUCCAGCAAUGCCGCGUGCAGGAAGAAGGCCUUCGGGUUGUAAACUGCUUUUGUACGGAACGAAACGGCUCUGGUUAAUACCCGGGGCUAAUGACGGUACCGUAAGAAUAAGCACCGGCUAACUACGUG
rnacentral:rRNA from 1 species